GAGUUUGAUCUUGGCUCAGAUUGAACGCUGGCGGCAUGCCUUACACAUGCAAGUCGAACGGCAGCACGGGAGCUUGCUCCUGGUGGCGAGUGGCGAACGGGUGAGUAAUGCAUCGGAACGUAUCCUGGAGUGGGGGAUAACGUAGCGAAAGUUACGCUAAUACCGCAUAUUCUGUGAGCAGGAAAGCGGGGGACCUUCGGGCCUCGCGCUCUUGGAGCGGCCGAUGUCGGAUUAGCUAGUUGGUGAGGUAAAGGUUCACCAAGGCGACGAUCCGUAGCAGGUCUGAGAGGAUGAUCUGCCACACUGGAACUGAGACACGGUCCAGACUCCUACGGGAGGCAGCAGUGGGGAAUUUUGGACAAUGGGGGCAACCCUGAUCCAGCCAUGCCGCGUGAGUGAAGAAGGCCUUCGG
rnacentral:rRNA from 1 species